UCGAGACGCCUAAGAUGCCUCCUAAUCUACAGCCUCACAUUUCGUACUCAAUCAUGCUGGCAUUCUCUCCACACGUGGCGUAGCUCCGCCGGCACGUGGCACGCGGCGCCACUUGAGCGCGCUGCGACGGGGCGCAAGUGGCGCCACCAACACCUGAAGCGCCAAAGUCAACCUCACCUGCACGCGGCGCGCCCUGCUCACACCGACGAGGCUCUGACGACUGUCUGACCUCUCAUUAUGAAAUUGAAAAGACCUUUUAUAGGCCUUUUUAACUUCAUAGUUAGAGAUCAUUAGGAUUUUCUUUUUGAUAUUUUUGAUUUUGUUUGCACAAAUUCAUCAUUACUUAGUUGAUGUUACAAUACAAAGAAUACAAACUUUGUAUUCGCGUAACAAAUAAUGAUGAUUUUGCGACUCAGUUUGCAAGAAAAGUUAAUGAUAGAUCUACGGAUAUUUAGAGGAAAAAUGCCAUGGUAUAUUCUAUAGCAAUUAAGUAGGUUAAGAUUUCUACUCUUAUAGAAAAUGUAAGAGGGUUUUUAUUGUCACGAUACCUAUUACUUCUUAGUUUAAUACAAAUAAAUGUGUAAUCA